rnacentral:RNase_P_RNA from 2 species
GGAGUCUUAAUCGCAUAGUUCCUCAAGCCCAUUCACACUCGCGAGCGGGCCAAGGUCCUGGAAUUUCAACUCCCCUUUCUUUCUCCUUUGGGGAAAGUCUGGCCGAUCUUAGCGGAUCCUUGAAUGAUUAUUUGUCAAGUUAAUUCCCGACCAGAAAUGCGUCCUUCCUGACUUUGCUCCGCCCUCAAAAGCAGAGCAAGCCCGGAGAAGCGUCUUCGCGUGGAGGGUAUAGUCAGGUCCAAUAUAAUCGGACUUGGUAUGGGAAUGGUGGGGUCGCCUUAUAUCGUUGUUCCCCUACCCUUUUCUUCAGGAAAAGGAAAAGGGAGUCUCAGAUGUUCUACAUACAGGAGAAGCGUUGGUCUAAUUUCCCUUAUGAGGAUUAUGGCCAACCCCGAUAGAUAAAGGCUUUAGUGCAAUUUGGUGACGUCCUCUUGUACCUUGUACGUCCCUCUAUCUUAAGAUGAUGGGACGAGGAUAACUCGAUCAGGACUACUCUGGGACUGC